UGAAACAACACUUCCCAUACGAUCACCAAAGUUAAGCAACAUUGAGCCUGUUCAGUACCUAGAUGGGUUACUGCUUAGGAAUACCAGCUGCUGUAAG